rnacentral:rRNA from 1 species
CCUACGGGAGGCAGCAGUGGGGAAUAUUGCACAAUGGGCGAAACCCUGAUGCAGCGACGCCGCGUGAGUGAAGAAGUAAUUCGUUAUGUAAAGCUCUAUCAGCCGGGAAGAAAAUGACGGUACCUGAGUAAGAAGCCCCGGCUAACUACGUGCCAGCAGCCGCGGUAAUACGUGGGGGACAAGCGUUAUCCGGAUUUACUGGGUGUAAAGGGGGCGUAGACGGCAGUGCAAGGCUGGAGUGAAAGGCGGGGGCUCAACCCCCGGACUGCUCUGGAAACUGUACGGCUGGAGUGCAGGAGAGGUAAGUGGAAUUCCUGGUGUAGCGGUGAAAUGCGUAGAUAUUAGGAGGAACACCAGUGGCGAAGGCGGCAUACUGGACUGUAACUGACGUUGAGGCUCGAAAGCGUGGGGAGCAAACAGGAUUAGAUACCCUAGUAGUC